rnacentral:rRNA from 1 species
GACGAACGCUGGCGGCGUGCCUAAUACAUGCAAGUCGAACGCUGAAGGAGGAGCUUGCUUCUCUGGAUGAGUUGCGAACGGGUGAGUAACGCGUAGGGAACCCGCCUGGUAGCGGGGGAGAACUAUUGGAAAAGAUAGCUAAUACAGCGUAAUAGCUGUUGUUGCAUGACAACUGUUUGAAAGAUGCAAUUGCACCACUACUAGAUGGACGUGCGUCGUAUUAGUUAGUUGGUGGGGUAACGGCCCACCAAAGCGACGAUACAUAGCCGGCCUGAGAGGGGGGACGGCCACACUGGGAAUGAGACACGGCCCAGACCCCUACGGGAGGCAGCCGUAGGGGAUCUUCGGCAAUGGGCGGAAGUCUGACCGGGGAACGCCGGGGGAGUGAAGGAAGGUUUCCGAUCGUAAAGCUCUGGUGUAAGGGGAGAACGAGUGUGGGAGUGAACAAUGCACACUUUGACGGUAUCUUACCAGAAAGCCACGGCUAACUACGUG